GACGAACGCUGGCGGCGUGCUUAACACAUGCAAGUCGAACGGUGAAGCUCCAGCUUGCUGGAGUGGAUCAGUUGCGAACGGGUGAGUAACACGUGAGCAACCUGCCCCUGACUCUGGAAUAAGCGCUGGAAACGGCGUCUAAUACUGGAUACGAGAAGUGUCCGCAUGGGCACUUUCUGGAAAGUUUUUCGGUUGGGGAUGGGCUCGCGGCCUAUCAGCUUGUUGGUUAGGUAAUGUCUCACCAAGGCGACGACGGGUAGCCGGCCUGAGAGGGCGACCGGCCACACUGGGACUGAGACACGGCACAGACUCCUACGGGAGGCAGCAGUGGGGAAUAUUGCACAAUGGGCGAAAGCCUGAUGCAGCGACGCCGCGUGAGGGAUGACGGCCUUCGGGUUGUAAACCUCUUUCAGCAGGGAAGAAGCGAAAGUGACGGUACCUGCAGAAGAAGCACCGGCUAACUACGUG
rnacentral:rRNA from 1 species